UAUGGACUCAUCACUCGUCCUUCCUCUCAACGCCAGCGAGCUGUCUCUGUCACUUCCAUCUAGCCGCUGAACUGCUCCCGCCGCUGUCGCCAGUUGGAGCCUCGAAGAUUAUAGUCGCAAUCGUGCAGCUCUCCACCAUCGUCACUGUUUCAGCUCUGGAAGCAGCAUCACCGGACUCGCCUCCUGUCUCCAUCGCGCACCUCUAUUCCACCGUCGCCAGCAUUAGCUCGGUUGCACCGUGAAGCACAAUCGUCGAGAUCGCCUCCUGUCUCCGUCGCGAACUCAGUUCCACCGUGGCCGACGCCAUCUCUGUUCCACUGGCCAGCGCCACUCUCCCUGGAUCUGCUCUGCUCUGUUCUGUUCUGUUCUAUACUUCUAGCUUCUAGGUACUUUUUAUUUUUUUAUAACAAUAAUGGUUGAAUAAGUAUUGUUGAGUAAUCUGUGAGGGUUGAAUAAUUAUUAAUUAAUCUGUGAAUAAUUGCUGUUGUUACUGCCUGACUACUUAAGCCACUUGGGCAAAUCUAUUAGUUUAUGCUAUUAUUACAUAUUCACACUGUAUUCCCUCCCAGAUCAGAAGCUCACCAAUUUUUU